rnacentral:misc_RNA from 1 species
AUGGACUACCAGGGUUUCUAAUCCUGUUUGCUCCCCACGCCUUCGCGCCUCAGCGUCAGUAUUGGUCCAGGAAGUCGCCAUCGCCACCGGUGUUCCUCCUGAUAUCUACGCAUUUCACCGCUACACCAGGAAUUCCACUUCCCUCUCCCAUACUCAAGUCCCUCCGUUUCAAAUGCACUUCCGGGGUUAAGCCCCGGGCUUUCACAUCUGACUUAAGAGACCGCCUACGCGCUCUUUACGCCCAAUCAUUCCGGAUAACGCUUGCAUCCUCUGUCUUACCGCGGCGGCUGGCAC